UACGGGGGGGGCAAGCGUUGUUCGGAAUUACUGGGCGUAAAGGCUCGUAGGCGGCCAACUAAGUCGGAUGUGAAAUCCCCAGGCUUAACCUGGGAACUGCAUCCGAUACUGGAUGGCUUGAAUCCGGGAGAGGGAUGCAGAAUUCCAGGUGUAGCGGUGAAAUGCGUAGAUAUCAGGAGGAACACCAAUUGCGAAGGCAGCUCGCUGGGACGUAACUGACGCUGAGACGCGAAAGCGUGGGGAGCAAACAGG
rnacentral:rRNA from 1 species